GGGGAUGUAGCUCAGUGGAAAAGCAUCUGUUUGGUGUGCAUAAGAUCCCAGGUUCAAUCCCUGGCAUCUCCA